GGGACUUUAGCUCAAUAGUAGAGUGCUUGCUUGACAUGCAAGAGGUAGUAGGAGCGUAACCUACAAGUCCCACCA
rnacentral:tRNA from 2 species